rnacentral:lncRNA from 1 species
UUAAUUGUGAAGUAUAGCUAUUAGACUCAUUUGAUAUUAUUUGCUGCUUCACCACUCAGUGUUAGUGUCCCUGAGGCCUGCCUUGCACUACUUUCUCUAUCUAAAAUAUUCACAUGCCUGUAACUGAAUUCAAGGAAAACAAAGCCUGGGGCUAGAAGGAAGUGUAGGAAUCCAAGGAGAAAUAUCCGUGGUAGAUUUCAAUUAAGAAGCUCUGGCAUUAAGCAAAAUAGGUGAAGAAGCUUUACACGUCGUUUCCCUUUUGAGUCGCUCAGCCAAAUUCAUCAGUGUAAAGGAAGAGUUAAAGAAGUACUCAAACCCAAGAGCCCUUUAAAGAAACAACAUAGGAGUCAGUGAGUGAGUGGGGGAAGCAGCCAAGAUGGACAAACAAGAACAGCUCUGGUCUACAGCUCCCAGCAUGAGCGACGCAGAAGACAGGUGAUUCCUGCAUUUCCAUCUGAGGUACCAGGUUCAUCUCACUAGGGGGUGCCACACAGUGGGUGCAGGACAGUGGGUGCAGCGCGCAGUGCGCGAGCCGAAGCAGGGCGAGGCAUUGCCUCACUCGGGAAGUGCAAGGGGUCAGGGAGUUCCCUUUCCUAGUCAAAGAAAGGGGUGACGGACGGCACCUGGCAAAUCGGGUCACUCCCACCCGAAUACUGCACUUUUCCGAUGGUCUUAAA